UACAGGAGGUCCCCAAAUGAUGCGCAGCAUCAUUUUUUGCAUGGGACCGACGAGCUGCCGCCGAACGAAGUGAGGGACAACACAAAAA
rnacentral:sRNA from 1 species